UUAUUUUUCAGAGACAUGGAAAUGCAUCCUACAAAGAUAUUAGUAUAUAGUAAUCUCAUUCCUUUCUCUUGACUCCUUUCAGGUUUGGAUUAAUUGGGAAAUUCUGAAUUUCGUAACUGAGCCGAAUUUAUAAAAUAAUUAAAUUAUGUAUGGUCCAUCCCACUCCAUUGUCUCCACUUAUCCGUUCCCUUUUAUAUUACACAAAAGUAGUUUCUGAUGUUUACUUUGUUUAUUGUAAGCAUGUAGGAAAUUACAUAACACCGCUCAGAGUUCAGUUUGAAGCUUAUUUGGAAGUGGUUUUCAUUGUCAAUGCACCCUUGUGCUGCUCGCGUCUUUGAUUUUGGGGGCCAACCUACCUACUCCUUGCCCUGAGAAUGUCGUUGGCGGUGCGCUGCUUUUGGGCAUGGCGCCGGUAUUCCUAUCCUCAUCCAAGCUUAUGUUUUCUUCCAUUUCUCUUUUAGAUUUUGUUCAAAUAUAACUUGGUACUACUAGCUAACGACCAGUUUGUUCUAAUUUGGUACAUUGAAAUCGCCAUGUGUUGAUCAUUGAUAUGUGGUGAAGGUUGUCGUUUAUAACAUUUGUUGACUUCAAAAUCAAAGAAAGCCUUGCUGAUUCUGUUCAUUUGGUGCUGCUAAUUACUCCCUCAUAUAUGAACUGGUAUGAAUUUGAAAAAGAGAACUUGUAUGAAUGGAAUGCACGACAAUUGGGCUUGUGACAUUCAUGAUUUGUCUGCAGUUCUAAGAAACUCAAUUUGCUCAGCUGACUUGUGAUGGAAAUUUCUCCUGUUUGUUGGUACAU